AGGGGCCCGAACCCGCGGGGGGGAAAGUCCAGAACUCCCUCAGGUCGGUGGGACUGGUAACCCUAGGUCUAAGAUGACCGGACCCGCGGGCUCUCCAAACUGGCAAUCCCCAGACGCAGCCUGUGGGGCCGCCGUGAUUUCUCUUCAUUUAUUUCCCCAGUUUCCUAAAAUACCUGCCGCUGUCCCGCGAGCGCAAAGACAAAAUCACGUGUAUGUUUUAUUCUUGUUAUUUAUUGGCCAAAUCUCAGUAGGAAUGUAAAGGAUGAAGAGGAGUUCGCUACCAUCGCACUCCCCAGGAUUGCCGCCUCCGAAGCUCUGCUGGUUGCGCGGGAGCCGCAGUGCGCCAGCUCACCUGCACACAGCGGCUCACGGCUGUGGACGCGGGCGUCGCGCUCAGCAGUCACCCCACGAGGUGCAGUGUAAUGUCCUAGAGCACCGGCAGAGAUCUGGGAGGCACCUGGGCAGAAGUGGUGCCAGAAGCUGGGCAAAGACCUCGGAGUGUGGUUACCCUGGAGAUCCUUACCGUCUGUCGGACACACGACUUUCUAAAUCCUGACACGGGCAGCCCCGAGAAACGAGGAAAGGCGUCCCUUGGGUGCCCUGGAAGCCAAAGCGCACGCCAGGGUGCCCCCGGGCCUGGAACGAAGCUUCCCGGGGGUCUCAAGCAAACCCAUCCUCCUCCCGCAGUUACGUGGAGGAGAAUUCUGAAGAUGAAUCCUCUGGGGACCAGCAACUAUUGAAUCCCCUGAAAGAUGAUUUCUUCUCUCCCUAGACUGAAAAAAUGAGAAAGCUCCCAGGAUGGGGUUGCAGCCACUCAAGAAUCCUUUAGUUGCAGACAGAGAAGCUUGAUGAACCUCUCCAAGGUCACAAGGAUAAUACAUAGUGGAAUUGAAGUUCAUACCCUGGUCUGACUCCCUGCAACUCGCUGUCCUCCAUUCAAGGUGAUUGUGAGCAUUCAGCUCUGCAGAUGAGAUCAUUUAAUAUGUAUUGCUUUUCCCUAUGUGUAAUUACUACUUAAGGAAAAAAAAAACAGUUUAUUUAGUAGGUUGUAAAGUUUGAUAAUAAACAGAGCUGGUAAAAAUACAGGACUGCAAAUAUUCUCAUAUACUGUGGGUGAAAGUGUCAGUUGCUACAACCUCUUUGAAAAUGAGUUGGCACUGUCUGUUACAAUUAAAACAAAGGAAACUGACUCAGUAGUUAUCCUUCUAGGAAUUUAUCCUAUAGGUAGGUUUAUUUGUAGCAACAACCAAAGUUCCAUGUGCAAGGAAGUUUACUAUGGCAUUGUUUGUAACAGCAAAACCCAGAAACAUCACAAUGCUAAGCAAAGGGGGCCUGGUUACAUAAAGGAUGGUCCCUGCAUGGAAAGAAAUACAAUGUAGCCCUGAAAAAGCAAGGCUAGGUCUAUAUGCACUACUAGAAAAAAAUUUCCAAGAUGUAUCACUUAGGAGAAAAUGCAAGGUCCUCAGCAGCAUUGCAGUAUAAUUAAAUUUGUAUAACCAAAGAGUAUAAAACAUUUAUAGAAAAUUAUAGAAGUAACUAAUUACUAACAGUAAUUACUUCUGGAAGUUGGGAAAG